rnacentral:rRNA from 1 species
UGAGGAAUAUUGGGCAAUGCCCGCAAGGGUGACCCAGCAACGCCGCGUGGAGGAUGAAUGUCGUAAGAUUGUAAACUCCUGUUAGAGGGGAAGAAUAGUACCGGUUGGACCGGUAUAUGACUGUACCCUCAGAGAAAGCCCCGGCUAACUACGUGCCAGCAGCCGCGGCAAUACGUAGGGGGCAAGCGUUGUCCGGAUUUACUGGGUGUAAAGGGCGCGCAGGCGGGAUAAAAAGUCAGUGGUGAAAUCCUACAGCUUAACUGUAGAACUGCCUUUGAUACUUUUAUUCUUGAGUUCGGGAGAGAGAGACGGAAUUCCAGGUGUAGUGGUGAAAUACGUAGAUAUCUGGAAGAACACCAGUUGCGAAGGCGGUCUCUUGGUCCGACACUGACGCUGAGGCGCGAAAGCGUGGGGAGCAAACA